rnacentral:rRNA from 1 species
UACGUAGGGCGCAAGCGUUGUUCGGAUUUAUUGGGCGUAAAGAGCGUGUAGGCGGCCAGAUAGGUCCGUUGUGAAAACUCGAGGCUCAACCUCGAGACGCCGGUGGAAACCAUCUAGCUAGAGUCCGGAAGAGGAGAGUGGAAUUCCUGGUGUAGCGGUGAAAUGCGCAGAUAUCAGGAAGAACACCCGUGGCGAAGGCGGCUCUCUGGUACGUGACUGACGCUGAGACGCGAAAGCGUGGGGAGCGAACAGG